CAAGGGUUGUGAAUAUUCUCUGUUUAAUUUUCAGAAUGGAUGAUGGAGAAGACAGAUGCCUGUAAUCAUCCUUUCAAAGACCUGUGCUGGUGUCCGAAAGAUACUGCAUGUUUGGAAAGGACAAGCAAUAGGGAAGUGCUGCCUCCUUAUGCUGCUCUACCAACACAGCAUCUGUAAUAUACAACAGUACAAAGGACUGAGGAGCUGCCUUUCAACGCCCUCAUGUCAGAAGAUAUUUUUCAUCUUUUCAUCCCCGGUGAGAGGACAAUCUCUUCAAGCACGUUCACCAGCCCUACCGGUGAUACUGCUCUAACAGCAGUCUAGAGCUUCUGAGCAGAUGUCCUGAACAAAAUACGGCUUGCUGAUUUUCCUGGGAUAAUGCAGAGGUAAAAUAUUUUGUGGGUGAAUGUUGGGAUUGAGCCACUGGUGAUUUCAUUUAACAUUGGGCUUCUCCAGACCACCACCAUCCUAAAGUGCGGAUAGCAAAU
rnacentral:lncRNA from 1 species